UUCACUUUAUGUGAAAUCUCCUUAUAAACCAUUCUAACACAAGCAGAUGCAAUCGACUGAAUGCAACAGCAGCAGAAAUGGUGACACUAGAGCUUCAGUGAGAUGAUCUUAAAAUAUUCAAAGGUUCAGAGUUAUGCGGAAAAUUGGGCCAGACUGUACUGCUCCUGAUCUACUGUGGAUGUGUGAAAGCCUGCCACAAGACCUUACACCAGCUAGCAAGACAGCUGUCCAAAAACCAGACAGAAACUCUUCCUGAACUGCAUGUGUCUCAUUUGUCUUGCCUAUGAAGAUGACACAGAAUACCUUUCCAGAGGAGGAGGGAGGGGAAGGCAAUUUUGAGUAUCAUCUCACUUUAUCUGAGGGAUAUGAACUAGCUAGCAAGUAGGUAGGGGUUAUUCUAAUUGCUUGGAUAGACAGCAAGCGAUUCAAAUAAUUGAAUAUUUAUGGUUUUAACAUCUAAAUCCUGGAAUUGUUCCCAGAAAAGAACAGCAAAACAAUAAGCUUGGUUAUACAAAACCUGUAUCUCAUAGUCAGACUUUUUGAUGGUAAAAGGGACAAUUACAGCUUUUUUGCACAGUUGAAACAUUCAGAAUCUCUCAUUUCUCAUUGUUUUCAUUCAUCUUAAUUUUUUUCAUGGUUAAUAGGAGCUCAUUUGUGCUGAAGGCUUACAGGUGCAUCUUCAUUAGUGUUUUACUUUGGCUGGGAAAUCUCUCCACAGUUCCUAUUUAUGGUGGUUUUGUUCACAUCCUGGAGCAAUCUUGAAGCCCCUUCCUUUUGGGUAAAAUUAAGUGGGAAUGUGAGCUCAAAUGUGACUGCUAUACCUUUGUUUACUUUUACUUGAUUUACAUGGUCUGUUUUUCCAUCAUUUUUAAGGUGCCACUAGACUUUCAAAGCCAAUAUUUUAAGAUCCAACAAGGAUCUAUAAGAUUCACAGGGUUCAUUUGAAGGAUAUUUGGUUUUUACUUUUGUCUUUGUAAUAGCAACAUUAAACUGCCUCUUAGAAGACUGCUGUGUAGACAAAAGUUGGUUUUUUUCUAAAUUCAACCCAUUUAUCAGAAACAAAAGUCCCCAGUGACAAUCUUAUAGUCCUGCUCUGGGAAAUACCAAAUUAGAAAUAAAAAAGUAAAUUAACUUUUAAUAAUUUGUUACUGAAUUCUUUCUAUUAAACAUUUAAUUCAACUAUAGUAUUUGCUUAUAGUAUUCUAUGGAAUCCAGUGAAAACUAAAACUGAAAAAACCUACACCUACCUUUCUCCUAAUUAAAAUUCAUGUAAGCUGAGAAUAGCAGCAUCACAGUCACAGAAAACGCUGGGUUGGAAGGGAACCACAAGGGUCAUCGAGUGUAACUCGUGGCCCAGCACAGCACGAUGGCCAGGAGUCACUCCCUGUGCCUGAGGGCACUGUUCAGACACUCCCUGAGCUCUGCCAGGCUGGUGCUGUGACCACUGCCCUGGGGAGCUGUUCCAGUGCCCAAACACCCUCUGGGUGAAGAAUCUGUUUCUGAUACCCAACCUAAACCUCCCUGGACACAACUUCAGGUCAUUCCCUUGUGUCCUGUCACUGUUCACCACAGAGAAGUAACAUUACAGCUCUCACGCAUGCCUACAUAUAUGUGCGUGUGUGUGUGUAUGUCUGAUAUCUUGAUACUUUGAUAAAUUAAAACUGGCUUGGGGAGCAUUAUAUUUGAAGAAAAACUUGAAUUUAGAUUUAAAAAAGCAAGCAUGCUGGUCCCCAGAGACAUAUUUAAACUAAACUAGAUUUUUAAUUAAAGUUGUACUAAAAUGGUAUGGUGAAAUUAUUUUUUGCAUGUCUUUGUGUUUUCACAUAUGGAUUGAGGUUUUGCAUGGAGAUUUUUAUUUCUUGACAAGUAAACAUCUUGCAAACAAUUGCACAAGGACAUACUUCUCUCUACAGCCACUUAGAGCCUGACUUGUGCCAGAAACAUGGAUCUCAUUAUCAAAGCUACAAUCUACAUGAUAUUUUAAAGAGAGACUGCAGAGAUAUUACAUUGAUCAUCAGAAGUGUGACCCAAAGUCCUUGGUGUGUGGCGCCUCUACUGUUGAGAGAAUGGAUUCUGGGAGGAAAAAUUAUGGAGAAUCUUGCCAUUCUAUGAGAUAUGUCUGGAGGCACCAAUUCUUAAAUAUUUUCUUUAAAAAUAAAAAUCCAUAGGAGACAAUUAAUAUUAUUCCUUGUGAGCUAU